rnacentral:rRNA from 1 species
GAUGAACGCUGGCGGCGUGCCUAAUACAUGCAAGUCGAGCGAACGGACGAGAAGCUUGCUUCUCUGAUGUUAGCGGCGGACGGGUGAGUAAAACGUGGAUAACCUACCUAUAAGACUGGGAUAACUUCGGGAAACCGUAGCUAAUAACGGAUAAUAUUUUGAACCGCAUGGGUCAAAAGUGAAAGACGGUCUUGCUGUCACUUAUAGAUGGAUCCGCGCUGCAUUAGCUAGUUGGUAAGGUAACGGCUUACCAAGGCAACGAUGCAUAGCCGACCUGAGAGGGUGAUCGGCCACACUGGAACUGAGACACGGUCCAGACUCCUACGGGAGGCAGCAGUAGGGAAUCUUCCGCAAUGGGCGAAAGCCUGACGGAGCAACGCCGCGUGUGUGAUGAAGGUCUUCGGAUCGUAAAACUCUGUUAUUAGGGAAGAACAUAUGUGUAAGUAACUGUGCACAUCUUGACGGUACCUAAUCAGAAAGCCACGGCUAACUACGUG